rnacentral:rRNA from 1 species
AAUAGAUACCCUGGUAGUCCAUGCUGUAAACGAUGAGAACUAGAUGUUAGGGGGCAUGACCUCUUAGUAUCGAAGCUAACGCGAUAAGUUCUCCGCCUGGGGAGUACGGCCGCAAGGUUAAAACUCAAAGAAAUUGACGGGGGCCCGCACAAGCGGUGGAGCAUGUGGUUUAAUUCGAUGCAACGCGAAGAACCUUACCUACCUUUGAAUCCACGGAACCUAGCAGAGAUGUUGGGGUGCCUUCGGGAACCGUGAGACAGGUGCUGCAUGGCUGUCGUCAGCUCGUGUCGUGAGAUGUUGGGUUAAGUCCCGUAACGAGCGCAACCCUUGUCCUUAGUUGCCAUCAGGUUAUGAUGGGCACUUUAAGGAGACUGCCGGUGAUAAACCGGAGGAAGGUGGGGAUGACGUCAAGUCCUCAUGGCCCUUACAGGUAGGGCUACGACACGUGCUACAAUGGGCAGUACAGAGGGAAGCCAACCCGGCGAGGGGGGUAGCGAAUCUCAUAAAGCUGUUCGUAGUCCGGAUUGGAGU